UACGUAGGGUGCAAGCUUUGUCCGGAAUCAUUGGGCGUAAAGAGCGUGUAGGCGGUUCGGUAAGUCGGCUGUGAAAGUCCAGGGCUCAACCCUGGGAUGCCGGUCGAUACUGCCGGACUAGAGUUCGGAAGAGGCGAGUGGAAUUCCCGGUGUAGCGGUGAAAUGCGCAGAUAUCGGGAAGAACACCCGUGGCGAAGGCGGUUCUCUGGGACGGUACUGACGCUGAGACGCGAAAGCGUGGGGAGCGAACAGG
rnacentral:rRNA from 1 species